CCUACGGGAGGCUGCAGUGGGGGAUAUUGCACAAUGGGGGAAACCCUGAUGCAGCGACGCCGCGUGGGCGAAGAAGUAUUUCGGUAUGUAAAGCCCUAUCAGCAGGGAAGAAGAAAUGACGGUACCUGAGUAAGAAGCACCGGCUAAAUACGUGCCAGCAGCCGCGGUAAUACGUAUGGUGCAAGCGUUAUCCGGAUUUACUGGGUGUAAAGGGAGCGUAGACGGCAGUGCAAGUCUGGAGUGAAAGGCGGGGGCUCAACCCCCGGACUGCUCUGGAAACUGUACGGCUGGAGUGCAGGAGAGGUAAGUGGAAUUCCUAGUGUAGCGGUGAAAUGCGUAGAUAUUAGGAGGAACACCAGUGGCGAAGGCGGCUUACUGGACUGUAACUGACGUUGAGGCUCGAAAGCGUGGGGAGCAAACAGGAUUAGAUACCCCAGUAGUC
rnacentral:rRNA from 1 species